rnacentral:lncRNA from 1 species
GUAAUACCCGGCUAGACUCCGGUAUCGGAAUUCCUACCGUCCGGUGGAAUCUCGGAUGUCGGAAACCUCUAGAAGGGGUAAAACCAUGUUUUAUGAAAUGUUUUUAAUGUAAGUUUUAUAGUGUGCUUGACUAGAGUCUGUUGUAAUCCCUUAAAUACAUGAGAUAAAUGUUUUAUGAUGUUUAUGUAACCCAAGCCUGAGAUAUGUUAUGUACCCCAUUGGAGUAUUUGUUGAGAACUCCAAUGAGGGGUUUAUGUUAUGGUUAUGCAUGCACAGACUAGGCUGGGUAAAGAAAUGUUUGAAUGAAAGAAAAGUUUUAAUUUUUAUGUAUGUUUUGGUUCAUGUAUGGGAUUGAACAGGUUCACAGGAUGUAUGUUUGGCUUGCUACGGGUUCCGGCGGCCUUAAGCCGACCUGAAUCCUAGCGCCGGUAGCGGUCCGGUUUCCGGGUCGUUACA